GUCAAUGUCAAUACUGCGCCUGGCGAGGGCUAGGUCAGAAUUGAAAUCACCCAAAGUGGAGUUGAAUUGAACUUUGAAUGAAUGGAAAUUGAAUUUUUUUUCAUUUUAAAAAAGUUGGGAAAAAUUAAAAUUCGGUGAAAAUCUAUAGAAAUUUAUUAUAGGUGAAAUACACUCAACUAGAGAUAGUCUGAUUAGUUUUUAUCUAUUUAUUUUAAAGAUAAGAUAAUUUGCCUUUAUGAUGAAAUAAGAAGUUAUUUUUUGUUAUAUUAUCUACCGGUUAAUAAUCAGUUCAUGGACCUCUAUUGAAUUAAAAAAUAAAAAAUGGCAAAACACACAAUAUUAAACAAAAAUUACGAUAAAUGGAUAUAAAAACAAGUGGCCUGAUUGAAGAGGCAUCUCAGGGUAUGGAUUCCACAUUCUUGCUCAGUUCUUCCAGU
rnacentral:misc_RNA from 1 species